AUUGAACGCUGGCGGCAUGCCUUACACAUGCAAGUCGAACGGCAGCGCGGACUUCGGUCUGGCGGCGAGUGGCGAACGGGUGAGUAAUACAUCGGAACGUGCCCUGUUGUGGGGGAUAACUAGUCGAAAGAUUAGCUAAUACCGCAUACGACCUGAGGGUGAAAGCGGGGGACCGUAAGGCCUCGCGCAAUAGGAGCGGCCGAUGUCUGAUUAGCUAGUUGGUGGGGUAAAGGCCCACCAAGGCGACGAUCAGUAGCUGGUCUGAGAGGACGAUCAGCCACACUGGGACUGAGACACGGCCCAGACUCCUACGGGAGGCAGCAGUGGGGAAUUUUGGACAAUGGGGGCAACCCUGAUCCAGCAAUGCCGCGUGUGUGAAGAAGGCCUUCGGGUUGUAAAGCACUUUUGUCCGGAAAGAAAUCGCGUUGGAUAAUACCUGACGUGGAUGACGGUACCGGAAGAAUAAGCACCGGCUAACUACGUGCCAGCCGCCGCAGUAA
rnacentral:rRNA from 1 species